UCCCUGGUGGUCCAGUGGCUAAGACUCUGAGCUCCCAGUGCAGGGGCCCGAGUUCAAUUCCUGGUCAGGGAA
rnacentral:tRNA from 1 species